rnacentral:rRNA from 1 species
GAAGCGGCAACAGCUCAAAUUUGAAAUCUGGCCCUUGGGUCCGAAUUGUAAUUUGUAGAGGAUGAUUUUGGUGCGGUAUCUUCCGAGUUCCUUGGAACAGGACGCCUUAGAGGGUGAGAGCCCCGUACGGUUGAAUGCCUAGCCUCUGUAAAUCUCCUUCGACGAGUCGAGUAGUUUGGGAAUGCUGCUCUAAAUGGGAGGUAAAUUUCUUCUAAAGCUAAAUACUGGCCAGAGACCGAUAGCGCACAAGUAGAGUGAUCGAAAGAUGAAAAGCACUUUGAAAAGAGGGUUAAAUAGCACGUGAAAUUGUUGAAAGGGAAGGAUUUAUGACCAGACUUUUUCUGGGCGGAUCAUCCGGUGUUCUCACCGGUGCACUUUGCCCAGUUUAGGCCAGCAUCGAUUUUUGGAGAGGGAUAAAAGCUUUAGGAAUGUGGCUCCUCCGGGAGUGUUAUAGCCUAUUGUAUAAUACCUUUCCGGGGAUCGAGGUACGCGCUUCUGCAAGGAUGCUGGCGUAAUGGUUAUCAAUCACCCGUCUUGAAACACGGACCAAGGAGUCGAACAUUUGUGCGAGUGUUUGGGUGUUAAACCCUCACGCGUAAUGAAAGUGAACGGAGGUGAGAGCCCUUACGGGUGCAUCAUCGACCGAUCCUGAAGUUUUCGGAUGGAUUUGAGUAAGAGCAUAACUGUUCGGACCCGAAAGAUGGUGAACUAUGCGUGGAUAGGGUGAAGCCAGAGGAAACUCUGGUGGAGGCUCGCAGCGGUUCUGACGUGCAAAUCGAUCGUCAAAUCUGCGCAUGGGGGCGAAAGACUAAUCGAACCAUCU